rnacentral:rRNA from 1 species
UACGUAGGGGGCAAGCGUUGUCCGGAUUUAUUGGGCGUAAAGAGCGUGUAGGCGGCCAGACAGGUCAGCUGUGAAAACUCGAGGCUCAACCUCGAGACGUCGGUUGAAACCGUCUGGCUAGAGUCCGGAAGAGGAGAGUGGAAUUCCCGGUGUAGCGGUGAAAUGCGUAGAUAUCAGGAGGAACACCGGUGGUGUAAACGGCUUUCUGGACCAUAACUGACGCUGAGGCACGAAAGCGUGGGUAGCAAACAGG